rnacentral:misc_RNA from 1 species
UCGGAUCGUUUUAGAAACAUCUCGGGGCCAAUCGAUCGCCAGAUCGCUUGAGCUCCAUUGGCGGGACCUCGCCGUCUUCGUUUCUCUUUCUUCGCGGACGAACACGCGCCAGGGGCUUAGCGCUUGUGCGAUGCAUCGGCGCCAUGCUGCUGCACGCGAGCGAGCUCCGAUCCUUAAAAGGGAUAAGCGUCAGGGGCUUGUAGCUCAGUUGGUUAGAGCGCGCGCUUGAUAAGCGUGAGGUCGGAAGUUCAAGUCUUCCCAGGCCCACCACUUUGAUCGAGCGCAUGUGUCUCUCUUAUCCAGCCCACGGCAUUCGUCUUCUGGUACGGGGCCAUAGCUCAGCUGGGAGAGCGCGUGCUUUGCAAGCAUGAGGUCGUCGGUUCGAUCCCGUCUGGCUCCACCAGAUGAAGUCGAAGAUCGAUGCGUUGCUUCAAGCCUCGACAUAAUCGUCCGCGAAACAUCAAUUCGCACACCGCAGUCCGGAUGGACGCGAUGUGCGUGUUAUCUGACAUCGUAAAGAGGAGAUCGAUCCGAGUUUGGGAUCUGCGGAGCAAUUCGCGGAUGCUCAUUCACUAUCUCCGGGAUCAUUUCGGCGCUCGCUCAUCGCAAGAUGAAGCGGGUUGUAAAUGAUCCUCGUUAGCGAAGCUUGACCGCCUCGCUAUCGGUUCGAUCUUACGAAGCAAGCUGGUCUUUCUAAUCAAUGUUCAGCCGCGCAAUCAGCAUUCAUCGAGGGUGCGUGCUUGGGGUUUCGGCCUCAACGUAGUUGAGCGGCAUACAUUCUGCCGAGUGUGUGGACAUUGAUAAUGAGAGCAAUCAAGUGCCUUAAGGGUGUUCGGUGGAUGCCUUGGCGCUGAGAGGCGAUGAAGGACGUGCUACGCUGCGAUAAGCCGUGGGGAGCUGCGAAG